GGAAUCGCUAGUAAUCGCAGAUCAGAAUGCUGCGGUGAAUACGUUCCCGGGUCUUGUACACACCGCCCGUCACACCAUGGGAGUCGGAAAUGCCCGAAGUCAGUGGCCCAACCGCAAGGAGGGAGCUGCCGAAGGCAGGUCCGGUGACUGGGGUGAAGUCGUAACAAGGUAAC
rnacentral:rRNA from 1 species